AUGAAAGCGAUGACAAAAGACAAGCUAACUAUUUGUCAAUGGGUUAACAGAGAACCGGGUAAGGUGAAAGCCGGCACCUAUACAGUAUUUAGUGUCACUUUUUAGUUCUUUGUCGAAAAGUAUUCUUAGUAGGCGAAGACGGAGGGCCAACCGUUAAAAAGGCAGGUGUCCAAAGAAUAAGUGGCUGCAUAAUGCAGCAAUUAGGGUGGUACCGCGGGAGUAGUCUUCUCGUCCCUGUA
rnacentral:ncRNA from 1 species